rnacentral:rRNA from 1 species
CCUACGGGUGGCAGCAGUGAGGAAUAUUGGUCAAUGGGCGCGAGCCUGAACCAGCCAAGUCGCGUGAGGGAAGACGGUCCUAUGUAUUGUAAACCUCUUUUGUCGGGGAGCAAAAGCCGCCACGCGUGGCGUUCCGAGAGUAACCGAAGAAAAAGCAUCGGCUAACUCCGUGCCAGCAGCCGCGGUAAUACGGAGGAUGCGAGCGUUAUCCGGAUUUAUUGGGUUUAAAGGGUGCGCAGGCGGAAGAUCAAGUCAGCGGUAAAAUUGAGAGGCACAACCGCUUCGAGCCUUUGACACUGGUGGUCGUGAGUGAGGGAGGAGUGUGGGGAAUGCGGUGUGGAGCGGUGA